rnacentral:rRNA from 1 species
ACGAACGCUGGCGGCGUGCUUAACACAUGCAAGUCGAACGGAAAGGCCCUGCUUUUGUGGGGUGCUCGAGUGGCGAACGGGUGAGUAACACGUGAGUAACCUGCCCUUGACUUUGGGAUAACUUCAGGAAACUGGGGCUAAUACCGGAUAGGAGCUCCUGCUGCAUGGUGGGGGUUGGAAAGUUUCGGCGGUUGGGGAUGGACUCGCGGCUUAUCAGCUUGUUGGUGGGGUAGUGGCUUACCAAGGCUUUGACGGGUAGCCGGCCUGAGAGGGUGACCGGCCACAUUGGGACUGAGAUACGGCCCAGACUCCUACGGGAGGCAGCAGUGGGGAAUAUUGCACAAUGGGCGGAAGCCUGAUGCAGCAACGCCGCGUGCGGGAUGACGGCCUUCGGGUUGUAAACCGCUUUCGCCCGUGACGAAGCGUGAGUGACGGUGAUGGGUAAAGAAGCACCGGCUAACUACGUG